AAGCAAAUACAAAUAUUGAAAUGUGUUUCUUUAUAUCAGCCAUUGGUAUUUUUUUUUAAACAUUAACAAACAGUUUUGAUAUAAAUACCUUAGAUUUUAUCCAGGUCAGUAACAUGACUAUGAAUGGCAAUGUUAGUCAACCAGACUGAAAAUAUCUCAACAACAUACAAGACAAUCAUGGGUCCCAAAAGGUGAACUUGUAUGAUAAUAAUACAUAAAUAAAUUGGCAGUAUUUGUUUAAUAUUAAAACCAACCACAAAAGAUGGAUUACAGCUGCCAGUGACUAAUCCAGUUCAGACUCUUAGGCCAUUGGUAACUGGAAAACAGGCUCCUUAGUUUAACUUUAAAUCACAAAAAAAGAAAACUUAAAGAAGACGUUAAAUUAACUAUUUAAUCUAAAUUAAGUUGAUUCAAAUAUUCAAGGCAGCAUUUAAACAGCCCAAAAUGAUUUACAUUGUACUUUGGUAAAAGUGAAAGUUUUACUUGAGUCUUAAAGUAUCUGGUUUUGAUCUGACGUACAAAUAAAAGUAAUAUAUAUUUACAUGUAUGUAUAAAGUGUGUCGACUGAUUGUCAAAUCUGACAUUCAGCAUGUUUCUGAUCAUCAGAAUUAAUUAAUCUUCUUCUUUUUUGGCUCUGGUGUAUGAUGUCAUCUACAAAGUAACUAUAGUAAAGUAAAAUAUAGCGAGUUAAAAGUAAAAUACUUCCAAGAUGUUGUGGAGUGGAAGAAUGAAGUAGUGGAACACAGAGAUACUCAAGUAAAACACCUCUAACGUGUGCAGGACUUGAGUAAAUGUGUUUCACCACGUAUCACACUCUUAACAUCUCAUCUCAUCUCAUCUCUACUUUUUAUUCACAACUUAUCAGGCUGUUAGUUUACGACACUGAAAUGUCAACAGCUGGUGAAAAUGAGAUGACUCAACUUUGUCCUGUGGGUUUGUGUGUUUGAACAUCUGGCUGGCUCCUCUGCUGGAGCAGGAAAAUAGGAGUACCACUGAAUUUGUGGCGCAACAUUUCCAGUAAGAGCUGGAAAGGACAGAGAGAGAGAGAGAGGAGAGGCCACUGCACGCUUCACCAGACGAACGUGGCGCAGCUGGAUUGUUGUUUUAAAAAGAAGCACACGGAUCUAACUCAUCCCAGCAUGAAGUUAACAAGGCUCGUUGGCGCGCUGCCCGUCGCCCUGCUUGUUGUAGGAAAUAUUGCGACUUCUGUCGCUCUCUCUGUUUUACAAAGUCUUGACUGUACCCACGACUUAAACAGGAUGUCCUGUGACUUUGACGCACCGAUCUGCUCUGGAUACAACCUGACACUUCGGUCCCUCAGCUUUGAUGAGUAAACUGAUUUUACUUAUUUCUACCAACUUAAACAAUAAACUUCUAUUUUUUUGUAGUUCUAGUUGAUUCAUCAAAUGGAAAUAAAUCAUUUUGUUUCACUAGAACAUUCAGUAAUGCAUUUAUAUUCAGUAUAUAUAUGUUAGGAUCAGCCUGAGAAGCCAGAAGUAUUCAAUAUAAUAAUGGUGUAUCCAUACAUUUAAUUAUCUUGUAUUCCACAGCGAAAGUUCUUGCAUUUUCCAGCAGUGCGACAGGGGAAAGUGUUGUUGCUCUACCCAAAUGAGUCUCAUCUAUGGGGAGACUCACAAUGCAACAGUUUGGAAAGGAGCUGUGAACUUGGUCUCCAAAACCAUCAGCGUGGCCGACAGCUGUGAGUUGACUCACGUUUUGUUAACUGGAAAUCUGCAUCUGCCUGGAACAGACGGAUCCAGUCUCAGAUUAUCAGAGUGGAGCAGGAGAAACUCACUUCUCUUGCCUCUCUUCUUCUUCCACAGUUAAGCCCCAACAAAUGUCACAGUGGUGGAAUCCAAUGUGAACGUUGAAGUCACCUGGAGCACGAACAUGGAUGACAAGCCCAGUGUCAGAGACGACUUGAGAGCUAUUGUGACUUACCGUGAAAAAGGCAACACACCACAGAUGACGGUGUCACGACCGAGAUCAUCUGUCCUGGAGAUGUAGACGCAGACAUGGACUUUUAAUUAUGUCAUAUGUCUUUUAUCCAUUCCAGGUAUCUGAACCUUUCAAACCAAUUACAGUUAAUGGACUGAGAUACUAUGUAAUAAAUGGUGUACACCUGGAGCCGAGUACAACGUAUUUGGUCAGUGUGAGGAGUGUGUACUGGAACAACGUAACCAGUGACAGCAGUGAAGAGGUGGAAUUCACAACACGUUCCUGGUGGGUGGAGUUAUAAUCAGCACCCCUGGGAGCACCUGAUCAGUUUGCUGCUGGAGCCAUUUUCCCAAAAGGUUCUUUUAGCCAAGGCCCACUUUCUGUUUCAUCAACCACGAAGAUGGAUUAAAGCUGCCUACAGUCCACUCAGUUACUCAAAAAUCAUCAUGUUAAAUGUCAUCACAAACCAAAGUAUGUUGAUGUAAGUUGAUUUACGCUCAAUAAAAACUUUGUCAAGA